CCACAUUGAAACACCGGUUCCUAUAUGAUCAACGAAGUUAAGCAACAUCAAGCCUGGUCAGUACCUAGAUGGGUGACCACUUUAAGAAUACCAGGUGCUGUAAG